rnacentral:piRNA from 1 species
CAAAGAACAAGCAGAGGCAUUGGUGCUAGA